AAGUGACUGAUUCUCGGCUGCCGAGAAAACCCUCUAAGCAUAGGUACAUUCGAACCGUACCUCAAACCGACACAGGGGGGUGAGAAGAGAAUUCUAAGGCGCUUGAGAGAAACCACGUUAAGGAACUCUGCAAAUUGCGUCCGUAACUUCGGGAGAAGGACUGCCGACAUUAGGUGAGGCGACUUGCUCGCUAAGCUGAAGUCGGCCUCAGAAAAGAGGCCCAUGCGACUGUUCACCAAAAACACAGCACUAUGCAAACACGCAAGUGGAAGUAUAUGGUGUGACUCCUGCCCGGUGCCGGAAGGUUAAGAGGAGGGGUUAGCUUCGGCGAAGCUCUGAAUAGAAGCACCGGUAAGCGGCGGCCGGAACUGUAACGGUCCUAAGGGAGCGAAAUUCCUUGUCGGGUAAGUUCCGACCUGCACGAAAGGAGUAACGAUAUGGGCGCUGUCUCAACGUGGUUCUCAGCGAAAUUGAAGUAGCGGUGAAGAUACCGUUAACCCGCGGCAAGACGGAAAGACCCCGUGAACCUUUACUGCAGCUUGGCAUUGAAUUUUGGAAUAUUGUGUGCAGGAUAGGUAGGAGACUUUGAAAGGGAGACGCUAGUCUUCCUGGAGUCACUGUUGAGAUACUACCCUCGGUAUUUUAAGGUUCUAACUUAGGUCCCUUAUCGGGAUUAAGGACAGUGUCUGGUAGGCGGUUUGACUGGGGCGGUCACCUCCCAAAGAGUAACGGAGGUGCGCUAAGGUUCCCUCAGGCUGAUUGGAAACCAGCCGAAGAGUGCAAAGGCAUAAGGGAGCUUGACUGCGAGUGCGACGGUACGAGCAGGUACGAAAGUAGGUCUUAGUGAUCCGGUGGUUCUGAAUGGAAGGGCCAUCGCUCAACGGAUAAAAGGUACUCCGGGGAUAACAGGCUGAUACCGCCCAAGAGUUCAUAUCGACGGCGGUGUUUGGCACCUCGAUGUCGGCUCAUCACAUCCUGGGGCUGAAGUCGGUCCCAAGGGUAUGGCUGUUCGCCAUUUAAAGUGGUACGCGAGCUGG
rnacentral:rRNA from 1 species